rnacentral:rRNA from 1 species
UACAGAGGGUGCAAACGUUGUUCGGAUUUACUGGGCGUAAAGCGCGUGUAGGCGGCUUCGUAAGUUGGAUGUGAAAUCCCACGGCUCAACCGUGGACGUGCAUCCAAAACUACGUCGCUGGAGUCUCGGAGAGGAAGGUGGAAUGCUUGGUGUAGAGGUGAAAUUCGUAGAUAUCAAGCAGAACACCUGCGGCGAAGGCGGCCUUCUGGACGAUGACUGACGCUGAGACGCGAAAGCGUGGGGAGCAAACAGG